UGAUGGGAAUAUUGCACCAUCUGUCGCACAUGUUGCACAAUGAUGAAUGCGGCAGUCAGCUGAUGUUGUUGGAGAUGCCUCCGCUGUCGAUGGCGCCCAGCUGCUUCACAUGGACGCCCAGGACUUCCUGGAGUAUGAGGUGUACAGGAUGUAUGGCGUGGAGUUGAUACUUGAUGCCGCUUAGAAUGGUCUUGGUCAUCGGCACUACCACCCUACUCCAGAAACCCUCCAGCAGAUGGCACGCAACGAGGAGGGCAAGGCAGCGGCGGUACUUAUGAAUGAGGACGAGCCGACAUUCCAACCUGGAGAUGGGCUGGCAAGUCUGCAGCUUCACCGACCUCGGUCGUCUGGGCUCUUGACUUGUGGUGUUAGAUUUCAUGUUGAAGCUUGAGGCCGAGACGGAGAUGGGCUGGCAUGUUUUGGGCGACUCCUUGGUGCAUCUUCCUUGUCCCCAGGUGGUGGCCACUUCACCUCAUUCCACUUUAGUACGAGUAGUCCGGGCACUGACGGCAUGCGGUUGUGGUGGUGGCCAUCCCGCUUCCGUUGUGAGAUGACCAUCAGGCUCCAGACGGGUUGUUUGUGUUUCAAAAAUUCACAUCUGGGUUAGUGGUUGUGUUGAGAUAUGUUAUGAGCAAUCAACACUCUUUCAGUUGAGCCUUCUUAUUUUGUUGUUGUUGUAGAUGGUAAGAAACCAGUGAGAUAUGUAGUGAACAAUCAAUGCUCUUUCAGUUGAUAGCUGUGUGUUUCCUGAACAACAAGUGUAGUAUCAAUACUGCUCGCAGCUUUCUUCUUUCGUCUUCUCUUUGCUCUAGCUAGUUUUGUAAACAUAUUAUGUGGCCACUAAAAAU